rnacentral:rRNA from 1 species
UACGAAGGUCCCAAGCGUUAUCCGGAUUUAUUGGGUUUAAAGGGUGCGUAGGCGGGCUAUUAAGUCAGUGGUGAAAGCCCCAAGCUUAACUUGGGAACUGCCAUUGAUACUGAUGGUCUUGAGUACAUUUGAGGUGGGCGGAAUGUGUCAUGUAGCGGUGAAAUGCUUAGAUAUGACACAGAACACCGAUUGCGAAGGCAGCUCACUAAACUGUAACUG